ensembl:lncRNA
AUUAAGUCUUUGGUUAAAAUUAAGUGUCAGAAGUCUUUGACACAUCAAAGCCAACGAACGAGGAAAGUCUGAGAACUCUUGUGGUCAAGAGCAGACAAAGAAAUAUGGCACUGAAUGAGACAUAAGGCUCUGGAGCAGAGGGAGAAGGAUAAGAAAAAGGAAGGAAGAGAGCACAAUAUGGAAUUCAGCCAAAGUGAAUGGAUCAAUACUUGAUCAAUAAUCAGGAUGAAGUUAACAUGCCACAGUACUGUAAGAUAGCAUUGACCAGGGAAGCUAGCUAUGCCAUAUGGCAAACUCUACUUCAAGAUCACUGUGUGAAAUAGAGAGCUAGCUUUAAAAAUGUCACCGUCAGUAAUGAUAUAACACUGUUAAAUACUGAAAAUACUUGUAUUGUUUAUAGUUUCAUCUGCUGUGAUGGAAAAGGAUGUGAUUCUUUCGAAAUGAUGGUACUGACAAGAAGUACUGACCGGAGCCACAGUGGCGGGGCUGUCAUGGGGAUAACCAACUGGUUUCUGAUUGGAUCUGAGAGCUGACUCAUAGAAGAGAGUUCGUACCUGGUACUGGGGAGCGGUCAGAAGCCUAUGGCUGAGGAGGUCACAGAUACAAGGAUAAACCUACUACUUUUGGUUUGCCAAAUGCCAUAUUGUCACACUCUGCCUACUCAUGUUUAUAUCCGCAGAGUGCCGUCCUCAGCCUGAAUCAAAGGAACUUGUCUUUACAGAGAACCUCAUGCCUCAGGUGAUUCAGACACCCAUGGUUGUUCCAGGUACUGAAAGAAAAAAGUGGUUGUUAGGUGUUCAGUCUUAAACAGAUGUCCAUGUCACCCCAAGGCUCUCGGAACAUCACAGAAGAGUAGAAAGAAAGGAGGAGCUAGAAAACGUGGAAGAGGGCUAUGGAGUGUUGUCUCCUGCAUCAUAUGAGCAUGGUACUCAUAAACUCACAGCAGCUGCUGACCAAACCAGUAAACAUCCAGUCAUCAGUGGGAGCUAGCUCAUGAUCGAGCUCAUGGUGCUCGAUCGUGUCUAGGUUCUCUGAGGGAGAGAAACCACUGUCUUGUGUUGUAGUCACUGUGGGUUACUCCUAUCCGAGUGGACACUUCACACUCGUGCUCAGUAGAGCAGCCCUGGUUAAACCCAAGAGUCACAGAGCGAAGGACACAAAACAAAAAUAGGAGCCUAGCAUGGCGACUCACUGAGAGGCUUUACCCAGCAGCUGACUGAGACAGAUACAGAUACCCACAGACAAACAUUGGAUGGAGGUCAGGGAACCCUGUGAAAGAGUUAUGGGAAGAAUUGAAGGCCCUCAAGGAGAUGGCAACCCUACAGGAAGACCAACAGUGUCAACUAACCUGGACCCCUGGGAGCUCCGAGAGACUGAGCCAGGAACCAGAGAGUAUGUGUGGGCUGGUCUGAGACCCCUGCACAUAUGCAGCAGAGUGUUGCCUUGUUUGGCCUUAGUGGGAAAGGACAUACCUAAUCCUGCAGAGACUUGAUGCACCAUAGUGGGGGAAUACCAGCAUUAUCCUAAAACCGCAGGAAGGGGAUGAAAGAGAGCCAAGGAUCGACAUGACAGGACUUCAGAAGAAUCUAGAAAGGCCUCUGCAUCAGCAGCACUUGGAGAGCCUUUGACCUGCACUGAGGGGACAGUGGGUCUUUACAAGGCACCCAUCCUUACAGUUCAAGAUGGACAGCUUCAGAAAGAGCUGAUGCCAAUCAAUAAGAGAUGGGUCCUACCCGUGUCGCACUAUCCCUGGCUGGAAGUGAAGGCUAGGAGGCAAAGAAAGGGUCACAAGCCAACAGUAUAUGACAAGGACUUUGAAGAAACCCUUUGCAGAGUAAACACAGAUUUUUCUUCUGUCAAGCCACCCGGGGUGACUCAUCUCUUUGGAAACAUGUCUCUGGCGUUCUUUCCUCCGGCCUGGACUUCUUGGAGGCAGUUAGGCAGAUUGGUGGCCGAUGACCAGGAUGACCAGAGAGAAGUCAGGACUUGACGUCCUAGAUCCAGCUCUACCGUGGACUCGAGGCCGAGGUCUGCUGUGUGCAAAGCACAGCUCUGCAGCCAGUGUUUCAGAGUUUGCGUGAUCAGUGACUGAGG